UUCACUCCCUGUAAAAGACGCUCAGGUAGACAGUGCCUCCCCAGUGUAUCAGGCUGUCAUCAAGACUGCAGACAGGGACACGGAGUUGAAUGACUGGGCCCGCAGCUCCUCCCAGGUGCAGUCCAAGUCCUUCCGCCUCCUCGCCCACAUCACGGGAACGGAGUUCAUGCAAGACCCAGACGUGGAACAUCUGAGGAAAUCAAGCCAGUAUGGCCAGGCUCCCCCCAUGCAACAAGCCCCUCCCAUGUACCAGGGGCAAUCCAUGUACCAGGGGCCUCCCAUGCAGCAGGGGCCUCCCAUGCAGCAGGGGCCUCCCAUGUACCAAGGGCCUCCCAUGCAGCAGGGACCUCCCAUGUACCAGGGGCCCCCCAUGCACCAGGCCCCGCAUAUGCAGCAGCCUCCCAUGCAGCAGCCUCCCAUGCAGCAGCCUCCACACAUGCAGCAGCCUCCACACAUGCAGCAGCCUCCUCACAUGCAGCAGCCUCCUCACAUGCAGCAGUCUCCUCACAUGCAGCAAAGCUCCAUCCAGAUCCCUGUGGGCCCUCCCCCCACCAAAGGUGGUCAGCACCGCCUGCAUCGUGCCAGCUCCUGCCCCUGUUCCACCCCAAGCCGCCGCCCCUGAACCCCCCUCCAGCAGGCCCCCCUGGAUCACUGACGACUCUUUUGCCAACAAGUUUGACCCCAGCAAGACCACCAGCACCAGCAUGAAAGUGCCUGCUCUACCUCAGAGUGCCCCACCAGCACCGGUCUAUAUCCCACACCCUGGCUCUGCCCACACCCCUCACUCUGCCCCAAGCCCUGCCUAUAACCCAAGCCCUUCCCCCUACAACCCCACCCCUGCCCCUUUCAAUCCCGUUGCCCGGGGCGUUGCCCAAAGGGCGGAGCGCUUUCGCUGCCAACAGCAACAGAGCACCCCUCUGUGGAGCCUGCAACAACAUGAUCAGGGGACCCUUCCUGGUGGCCUUGGGUCGAUCCUGGCACCCAGAGGAGUUCAACUGUCACUAUUGCCACACAUCGCUGGCAGACUGCAGCUUUGUGGAGGAGCAGAACGCAGUGUACUGUGAGAACUGCUACGGAGAGUUCUUUGCCCCCACCUGUGCCCGCUGCAACACCAAGAUCAUGGGGGAGGUGAUGCAUGCUCUGCGGCAGACAUGGCACACCACCUGCUUUGUGUGUGCUGCCUGUGGCAAGGCCUUUGGAAAUAGCCUCUUCCACAUGGAGGACGGGGAGCCCUACUGCGAGAAAGAUUACAUUUCACUCUUCAGCACCAAGUGCCAUGGCUGUGACUUUCCAGUAGAAGCUGGAGACAAGUUCAUUGAAGCACUGGGUCAUACUUGGCACGACACCUGCUUUGUCUGUGCGGUGUGCAAUUUGAACCUUGAGGGCCAGCCCUUCUACUCCAAGAAGGACAAGCCCCUGUGCAAGAAGCACGCUCACGCCAUCAAUGUGUAGAUGCUCCAUCUGCAGUUUUAUGGGGUUUUGGGCAGGUGCUUACGUAGCUAUGCCCAAGCCUUGGCAAAGAGCCCUGUAGAGGGCAUUGAUGCCAGUCAAAAUGAUGAAAAACACAAGAUGAAGAUGAUAGCAACAAGAUUGACUGUUCAGUAAACUGAUCAAUCAGGCGUGACAAAAUUUAAGUAUUUUCAUUGGUACUGAAAUUCAAGACAAAACGGCCUAAAAUGCUGCAGCCCCCCACCCCCCGCCCCCCCCCCCCGAACAUGUGUUAUGUUUGUAUUUAUUAAUAUCACUUACAAAUGAAUUAUAUUAUAUCAGAGAAUUCUUAUGUAAAUUCUUUGCUACUCCACUCAGGUCCUGGAGGGCCUCAAUCCAGUGAGGCUGGAGCAAAAGCCUUAGCAGCCUACAGACACAGGCAGACUGAGUGGAGUAGCAGGGCAAUCAGUAAAUAAGAUGCCUUAUUUCACAGGAACACUGUGUGCUUUGUUUUGAAUGGAAAAAACCCAAAUAGCUUGCAGUGAAUGUAAUAAAACCGUUUUAGUAUCACAUCCAGUAGAUUAAACAUGACGAUGCCUCACGCUGACAUACAGAGCACAGAACGUGAACCGAUACAAUACACUGUAGCUUGACACAUGCAGGCCUACGGGUACUGUUUGAUUUCACAGAGGUAUUAUUAAAGUGACAGUUUAGUAAGUGAUAUUUAUUGCAUCUUUGGCAAAGUGUUAUUUAUUUACAUAGAAUAAAACGGAAGUAUAACAUCCAUGGAUGUUUUAUAUUGCUGAUCAAACAAAACAGUUAUAUUUGGACUUUUGCUGAAUUAUUUAGUUUUGUAUGAAGUUGCAUCAUACAGAGGUUCACAGUAUUAUAUGAAGAACCUGUUAUUCACUCUUUCAUCCUGGAUUUAUUUAUUUAUUAUAUACAAAGAUGGUGCUCUGUUACAUUAUGAUACAGUAAUACUAUACCAACGUUGGGGAUCCAGGUAGAAGAUGAGACAACACUUUGGCUAUAUUUGAACACUUUAUGGGGUAGGGAAGUUAGGUUUUUGGAAUGUGUCUCAUAAACGGGAUUUGCUCCUGACUGGAAAUCAAGGAACCACUCUGUGUCUUUUAUAGUAUGUAAUGGGAAUUUUGGGGAGGUGCACGGAUGGUGGACCAGAGCCAGAUGGAUAUGUCACAAUGGGCCGCCGGACUACUGUGUCUCCGCGGCUUUGGUCUCUGAAUUGCACUUAAGGGAGCCAAGCUCUGGCCUGGGGUCUUACAGAUACAUUUUACACAACAGAUGUCUAUGCAUGGUGAUAUGCCAUACACCCGUAUGAAGCGCUUCAUUUAAACAAGAAUGUAUAGGAAAUAUCUGUCAAGGCCAAAAACAGCCAAACACAAUCAUUUCUCUCUCACUAGCACACACACACCUUAAAGGUCAGUUGAGACAGUGUGCUUGUCUACAGACUUUAUACUUUGAGUUUAUUUUAUACAUCUUUGUGUAUUUUCUGUGUUUGUGUAAGUGUGUGUGCAUGCAUGAGUUUUGUACAUGAUUGUCAGUGCAUGUCUACUGAGGCAACAUCAGUAUUAGUUAUGUAUCUGUGCCACUAGAGUAGCAAAGCAUACUGUGAUUUUACAUAACACUGAGAACACUACACUGAGUACUUUUGAUAUGCAUACUGUAUGUGUGUAGAUCAACUGGUAAGAAUAAACCUUACAUGGUACCAUUGGAGGGAAAUGAAGACGGGCUUGAAUUGUUGCUAAAUAGUUGUUUACUGAAAGUUCAGCGUAUUGAAACUAGUUGUAUAGUUUCCAACCACUAGAGUGCAACAGAGUGUUGACACCAUUCUGCUACUUGGCAUGCCUCAGACACUAGUCACUAUAUAGUACACUCACUGUAUGUUCCCUCUGUCCCCACUCCAGAAAACACUACAAAGCCAUUUGUCACCCCUGUGGACUUCGUAUCCAACAGUUCAAUGUCAAGCUUUUUUCCAGGCCUCAUGUAUCAACCAGCAAUGUCAUUACAUUAACUCCAUAAUCAGAAAUUGUGGACAGCGUAGGGAAAACAAUUGUUUGGAUUAUUUAGAUGGUUCCCCUUUAAAAUAAAAUAAAAAGAAGACUAUUGAGUCAACAUGAUGAUAGAAAUGCUGUGCAUCCCGUUGAGGCUAUUUUUAGACAAUCAAAUAUAGUGUAUUUUGUGUCACCUGGUAUCUGAAGGACCAUGUCAGCAGCCCAAAAUGUCAAUAUCACUGCUUCCAAUGCUCACACGUUUCCUCUGUAGUCAACAUUGGCUAUAAUAACCCCAUGAAAGAAUAGUUAAGGACAUAUUUAAGGAGGACACAGUUUUAUAGAAUUUCACAGUCCAUUCCCAAAUGACUAUAACUUCUCUCUGCCAUCAGGCAUUCAUUCCAUUUAGGUAAGAGGCCUCUGGUGCAUCUCUGUCCUCUGUAACGAGAGACUUAAGUAGCCUUCAUCGUUCUCUUCACUCUUGACACUUCCCUCCCUCCUGGCUAGUUCUCACUAAACAGUCUAUAUGGCACACAGGUUACUUUUCUAUGACACUGUAUUAAGACAAUCCUUUUCAAUUUCAGGCUGCUGAGUGGUCUUUUAGAUGUUGGUUCACACAUUAUUUCUGUUUGUACUGCUGUUUAGUAAACACUUGUGAGGCUGCAAGAUGUAUAUCCAAUGUGCAAAAGGGAUUGCUUCUUCUUCCAUGUUCUGUGUUUUGAUCGGGGAAGGUAUUUUUUUUUCUAGAGUAGUAUUUUUGUAUUAGAAUAGGUAUAUACUUGGCAUGAGAUAACAACCACACUCUUAAAUCCGAUCAUUGAUUUGCUUAUAUGUUUUUGAAGCAGUAACUGAAAUACGGCUUUGAUCUUUGAGUAGUUGUAGGCCGUCAAUGUUUUUUUUUCUUUGGCAUGGACUGUGUGGGAGGAAUAGGGUUGUUGUCAUUGUUCUGUUGUACAUUAUUAAUAACACAUGAAUUAGUGGUUCAUCUCUUGCUGCAUUUGUACUUAGAACCCUAUCGUCUAUAUAGACAAGGUCUUUUUAUGUGGAACGUUGAUGUGUUUGGAUUGUAACCCCAUAUUUCAAACGACUCACCCUGCCUGGCCUACCAUAACACUAACUAGACUUAGAAAUAGGAACACGUUUUAUGCAUUGCUUUAUUAAGUGAAAUGCAUCUGACUGCUAUCAGAACAGAGUUACAUGGAGAAAGGAUAUACCUUGACGAUUGAAGAAUUUAACAGGAGUCUAUCGGGGUGUGUGUGUAUCUAUCUUGGAAAGGAAAUGGGCUUGAUUUCGUCUCUCUUGAGAACUUCCUGGAUUGGACAAUGUUUGAGGGGCCUUAAUUUAUGCAUGCUGUAGCCUAUUAAAUACCAUGACCUUAAUUUAUAUUGUUCAGCAAAGACUACGAAUCACCAUUAUGUUUUUGUUUUACAACCACAAGUAUGCCUGUAUUACCAGAGUCAAUGUUGAUAGGCUGCUGGUAUCUCUAGAUCUCUAGGGAGUUGUUCCACAAAAUGGGUGCCUCUUGCGUCCAUUUGAUAUUUAAGUAGAACUUGUGCAACAAUAUUACAUUUUAAAAGCCUGUUAUAUUAUAUGAAGUGCCCUUUUAAUACAGACCAUAUGGAGAAUCCAAUAAAUAUAUAUUUUUUUUUUAUGUGAAUAAAGGCAACCUAAAGUGCCAAAAUUCAGCAUUUUGAUGCCCCUCCAUCAACCCUGUGUCACUUCUUCUAGGAAGAUUUCAACCCACUUACUCAAAACAUUUGUCACCAUCAUUGUAAAGCCCUAGUUAUUUUUGUUGCUUUGACAAAGUAAUUUGAAGAUUAUUUAUUUCAUGUGAUUAUUGAUUCAUUUACGCCUGUCCCUCAUUUUCGUGAUCCCUGUUAUGUGAACUGAACUUUUGUUUUAAUAUGGUGAAACUAUUUAUUUUAAAAUAUUUUUUUUAAAGAAACAUUUAACAUUAAUUGUCAAAUCAUAGUUUAAAAGCAGGUGAUAUGGUUUGACUAUCUUUGGCCAUUUUCUGGUGUUUUGUGGUGGGAAACUGAGCAGGUCGAACAUAACACGUCAACCCAGUUACCCAUAGAUAGACAGGCUAGAAAUGUUUUUUUUUCUCGGGAAGCUGAUAUUCACUUGCCACUCCCUGUUGCACAGAAGCGUCCAUUCCCCCUGUCACAAGGGGAUUUGUGGUUGAUUUAAGAAGAAAUAGUCAACCCUGUUACUUUAUUUUGAUUUGAUUUAUUUGGCACUUUAAUAGGCCCUUUCUAUAGUCAUUUUUGUUAUUUAAAAAACCUCUUGAGAUGAGAACAUGUUUUUUAUGAAUUUGAACAUGUCCUCUUGACAAUGUUAAACUUUGGUGAAAUUACACUUCUCAAAAGGCACUGAAUUGGUGGAAUGACCCUAGGAUGGUUUGAAUCUUUGAAAUUUGUCAAUAAACAUUUUAUUUCACAA